AAGUCGUAACAAGGUAACCGUAGGUGAACCUGCGGUUGGAUCAUUACAAAUUCAACAGGAUAAAGUUCGCCAUGGAACCGUUCGCGCGGUUCCGUGGUGUUCCUAAUCUGACCACACCUUUGUGAACCACUGACCGUAUCUUAUGGCCACAUUUGCGUUUUCCUACGGGGGUAGUUGACUUCAACAGUGCAUGUUUGACGCGCUGCAUGAAACUCGGACUAUUGGCCUCGCUCUUAAACGGGCGAGGGCAGAACCUGGUGGCCACUCAAACAAUGAAAACACCCGUUUUUUGACAUUUUGCAUUAAAAAUCAAUCUGAAGCUCGAAAGAGCGCUAGGAUUUAAAAAUGAGAAACAACUUUAGACAACGGAUCUCUUGGCUCUC
rnacentral:misc_RNA from 1 species